GGGCUUGUAGUUUAGGGGCAAAACAUUCGCUUGACGUGCGAAAGAUCUUGGGUUCGAUUCCCAACAGGCCCA
rnacentral:tRNA from 1 species